AGUGAACGCUGGCGGCAGGCCUAACACAUGCAAGUCGAGCGGCAGCGGGUUCCCGCGAGGGGAUGCCGGCGAGCGGCGGACGGGUGAGGAACACAUCGGAAUCUGCCUGGUUGUGGGGGAUAACGUAGGGAAAUUUACGCUAAUACCGCAUGAGACCCUGAGUCGACGGACUGGGGGUGAAAGUGAGGGACCUUCGGGCCUCACGCGACCAGAUGAGCCGAUGUCGGAUUAGCUAGUUGGCGGGGUAACGGCCCGCCAAGGCGACGAUCCGUAGCUGGUCUGAGAGGAUGAUCAGCCACACUGGGACUGAGAC
rnacentral:rRNA from 1 species